GAGUUUGAUCCUGGCUCAGAUUGAACGCUGGCGGCAUGCCUUACACAUGCAAGUCGAACGGCAGCGCGGGGCAACCUGGCGGCGAGUGGCGAACGGGUGAGUAAUAUAUCGGAACGUACCCUGGAGUGGGGGAUAACGUAGCGAAAGUUACGCUAAUACCGCAUACGAUCUAAGGAUGAAAGUGGGGGAUCGCAAGACCUCAUGCUCCUGGAGCGGCCGAUAUCUGAUUAGCUAGUUGGUGGGGUAAAGGCCUACCAAGGCAUCGAUCAGUAGCUGGUCUGAGAGGACGACCAGCCACACUGGGACUGAGACACGGCCCAGACUCCUACGGGAGGCAGCAGUGGGGAAUUUUGGACAAUGGGGGCAACCCUGAUCCAGCAAUGCCGCGUGAGUGAAGAAGGCCUUCGGGUUGUAAAGCUCUUUUGUCAGGGAAGAAACGGUGGUUUCUAAUACAGAUCACUAAUGACGGUACCUGAAGAAUAAGCACCGGCUAACUACGUGCCAGCAGCCGCGGUAAUACGUAGGGUGCAAGCGUUAAUCGGAAUUACUGGGCGUAAAGCGUGCGCAGGCGGUUUUGUAAGUCUGUCGUGAAAUCCCCGGGCUCAACCUGGGAAUUGCGAUGGAGACUGCAAGGCUAGAAUCUGGCAGAGGGGGGUAGAAUUCCACGUGUAGCAGUGAAAUGCGUAGAGAUGUGGAGGAACACCGAUGGCGAAGGCAGCCCCCUGGGUCAAGAUUGACGCUCAUGCACGAAAGCGUGGGGAGCAAACAGGAUUAGAUACCCUGGUAGUCCACGCCCUAAGCGAUGUCUACUAGUUGUCGGGUUUUAAUUAACUUGGUAACGCAGCUAACGCGUGAAGUAGACCGCCUGGGGAGUACGGUCGCAAGAUUAAAACUCAAAGGAAUUGACGGGGACCCGCACAAGCGGUGGAUGAUGUGGAUUAAUUCGAUGCAACGCGAAAAACCUUACCUACCCUUGACAUGGAAGGAACCCUGGAGAGAUCUGGGGGUGCUCGAAAGAGAACCUUUACACAGGUGCUGCAUGGCUGUCGUCAGCUCGUGUCGUGAGAUGUUGGGUUAAGUCCCGCAACGAGCGCAACCCUUGUCAUUAGUUGCUACGAAAGAGCACUCUAAUGAGACUGCCGGUGACAAACCGGAGGAAGGUGGGGAUGACGUCAAGUCCUCAUGGCCCUUAUGGGUAGGGCUUCACACGUCAUACAAUGGUACAUACAGAGGGCCGCCAACCCGCGAGGGGGUCUAAUCCCAGAAAGUGUAUCGUAGUCCGGAUUGUAGUCUGCAACUCGACUACAUGAAGUUGGAAUCGCUAGUAAUCGCGGAUCAGCAUGUCGCGGUGAAUACGUUCCCGGGUCUUGUACACACCGCCCGUCACACCAUGGCAGCGGGUUUUACCAGAGGUAGGUAGCUUAACCGCAAGGAGGGCGCUUACCACGGUAGGAUUCGUGACUGGGGU
rnacentral:rRNA from 1 species